rnacentral:rRNA from 1 species
AUUGAACGCUGGCGGCAUGCUUUACACAUGCAAGUCGAACGGUAACAGGUUAAGCUGACGAGUGGCGAACGGGUGAGUAAUGCAUCGGAACGUGCCCGGUCGUGGGGGAUAACGCAGCGAAAGCUGCGCUAAUACCGCAUACGAUCUAAGGAUGAAAGCGGGGGACCGUAAGGCCUCGCGCGAUCGGCGCGGCCGAUGUCAGAUUAGGUAGUUGGGGGGGUAAAGGCUCACCAAGCCAACGAUCUGUAGCUGGUCUGAGAGGACGACCAGCCACACUGGGACUGAGACACGGCCCAGACUCCUACGGGAGGCAGCAGUGGGGAAUUUUGGACAAUGGGCGAAAGCCUGAUCCAGCAAUGCCGCGUGCAGGAAGAAGGCCUUCGGGUUGUAAACUGCUUUUGUACGGAGCGAAAAGGUCUCCUCUAAUACAGGGGGCUCAUGACGGUACCGUAAGAAUAAGCACCGGCUAACUACGUGCCAGCCGCCGCCGUAA